rnacentral:rRNA from 1 species
UGGGGAAUUUUGGACAAUGGACGCAAGUCUGAUCCAGCCAUGCCGCGUGCAGGAUGAAGGCCUUCGGGUUGUAAACUGCUUUUGUACGGAACGAAAAGACUCCUUCUAAUAAAGGGGGUCCAUGACGGUACCGUAAGAAUAAGCACCGGCUAACUACGUGCCAGCAGCCGCGGUAAUACGUAGGGUGCAAGCGUUAAUCGGAAUUACUGGGCGUAAAGCGUGCGCAGGCGGUUAUGCAAGACAGAGGUGAAAUCCCCGGGCUCAACCUGGGAACUGCCUUUGUGACUGCAUAGCUAGAGUACGGUAGAGGGGGAUGGAAUUCCGCGUGUAGCAGUGAAAUGCGUAGACAUGCGGAGGAACACCGAUGGCGAAGGCAAUCCCCUGGACCUGUACUGACGCUCAUGCACGGAAGCGUGGGGAGCAAACA